GAAUUAAAUGUGAAAUUUCACGUUAUAAACCAAUUUCUGCAAUACAUUUUCUUUAUUCUUUUUAAGAGUCUUAGAUCAUCUGUCAGUGAAGGAAUUCGGGCAGUAGAUGAACGAAUGUCUAAACAAGAGGACAUUAGGGAAAAAAAGAUGUGUGUUUUAAGGCUUAUACAAGUUAUUCGAUCAGUUGAGAAAAUUGAAAAAAUAUUAAGUUUUCAAAAUUCAAAAGAAACAUCUGCACUAGAAGCAAGCAGGUAAGUGACUUUUACUAAAUUAAUAUUGUAUAAAUUAAUACUUCCCACCCAACUGAAAAAAAUUUUUGAGUUAGUACUCAUUUCUGAAAGAGAAAAUCCAAAUUUAUGUGCUUAAUGCUCUUAAAUGUAGCUCAAGAAAAGUUGGGUACAUAAAAUGGUAAAGUUUAUAAUGUGCAUCAUUAUAA
rnacentral:lncRNA from 1 species